UAUGUAGGAAAACAUGGAGACAGAAUGACUAAAUUAAAUGAGCAUUAAAAGGACACAAUUGAAAUUAUGAAAGAGUGUAUGUAGCAAUCAGCACACACUGCAAAACAUGUAAAAGUGGUGUGUUAGUCAUGUAAUACAGUCAAAUUUAUACUUAGCCUAUCAUUGUGUCAAACACCUGUGGUUCUGUUGCAUCCUCUGGUGAUCUGAGUAGGUGUUAUUUGACUGUUCUCAAGCUUGUUUGGCAGAGGGUAUCCUGAUCUGCUUAUAUAUUGUGAAUAUUUGGUAAUGUAACACCCUAAUAAUAUAUGCUUGUUCAGGUUAAUACUUGCCUUUCUGUAUUUUGUUUUGCAUAAAUUUACUUUUAUAUGUAUUUGCCUGUAGAUUCA